rnacentral:rRNA from 1 species
UAGCAUAUUAAUCAGCGGAGGAAAAGAAACUAACUAGGAUUCCCUCAGUAACUGCGAGUGAAGCGGGAUGAGCUCAAUGUGUGAUUUGGGUUUGGCGUACCCCCUUGUCCGAGUUGUGCACUAUAGACGCUGGAUCUGCACCUGCGUUCCUAAUGGCGGAAGUCCAAUGAAACACGGCGCCAUGGAAGGUCACAGUCCUGUCCCUGCCUCUUAGGACGCGUGCUUACGACCGGCGCUCUGCGAGUCGCGAAUGUUUGUAUUGCUGCGCUUAUCGGGAGGUAGAGCCCUUCUAAAGCUAAAUAUUGCAACGUGACCGAUAGCACACAAGUACCGCGAGGGAAAGGUGAAAAGCAACUAUGAAGAAUAGGUUGAAACAGUAGUGAAAGCGUUACCGGGAUAAGGGCUGUUGGAUGUUAGGGCCGAUGGCACGUGCUUCAGUGCUGUGCCGUAGGACGGCCCACGCGGGUUCGGAUGCCGGGAAAAGCGCCUUGGGAAUUCGGCCGCUCCGGCGGUGUUGCAGCCCGAGUGCGAACGGACCGGCUUCGGACCCUCUCGUGGGUCUUGCGGACGUCAGCCUCCCGUCUUGAAACACGGACCAAGGAGUGUACCUUGCGUGCGAGUCGAAGGGACUGUAAUCCCGGAGGCGUAGCGAAAGCGAUGCUCAUGAAGUCCUCACGGACGCCAGUGGCACCCGGACUUGUCCGAGGUAGAGCACGUAGGGUGCGACCCGAAAGAUGGUGAACUAUGCCUGGGCAAGGUGAAGCCAGUGGAAACGCUGGUGGAGGCCUGUAGCGAUUCUGACGUGCAAAUCGAUCGUGUGACCUGGGUAUAGGGGCGAAAGACCUAUCGAACCCUAAAAUGUCUGGUUCCCCCCAAA